rnacentral:rRNA from 1 species
GAUUAACGCUGGCGGCGUGCAUAACACAUGCAAGUCGAACGAUGAAACUUAACUGAUUUCUUCGGAAUGAUUUUAAGUGGAUUAGUGGCGGACGGGUGAGUAACGCGUGAGUAACCUGCCUUGGAGAAGGGGAUAGCCUUUGGAAACGAAGAAUAAUACCCUAUGAUAUGAUAAUAUCUCAUGAUAUUAUCAUCAAAGAUUUAUCGCUCUAAGAUGGACUUGCGUCUGAUUAGUUAGUUGGUGAGGUAACAGCUCACCAAGGCAGCGAUCAGUAGCCGGCUUGAGAGAGUGUACGGCCACAUUGGGACUGAGACACGGCCCAGACUCCUACGGGAGGCAGCAGUGGGGAAUUUUGCACAAUGGGGGAAACCCUGAUGCAGCGACGCCGCGUGAUUUAGAAGGCCUUCGGGUUGUAAAAAUCUUUCGUAUGGGAAGAAAAUGACAGUACCAUACGAAUAAGGACCGGCUAAUUACGUG